rnacentral:rRNA from 1 species
UUGGGCGUAAAGAGCUCGUAGGCGGCUUGUCGCGUCGGAUGUGAAAGCCCGGGGCUUAACCCCGGGUCUGCAUUCGAUACUGGCAGGCUGGAGUGUGGUAGGGGAGAUCGGAAUUCCUGGUGUAGCGGUGAAAUGCGCAGAUAUCAGGAGGAACACCGGUGGCGAAGGCGGAUCUCUGGGCCAUUACUGACGCUGAGGAGCGAAAGCGUGGGGAGCGAACAGGAUUAGAUACCCUGGUAGUCCACGCCGUAAACGUUGGGCACUAGGUGUGGGUCACAUUCCACGUGGUCCGCGCCGCAGCUAACGCAUUAAGUGCCCCGCCUGGGGAGUACGGCCGCAAGGCUAAA